rnacentral:tRNA from 1 species
GGGGAUUUGGCUCAGUGGUAGAGCACAAACUAUCAUAUGUGAGGCUCUGAGAUCAAUUCCCAGUACUGCAA